GUCCACGCCCUAAACGAUGUCAACUAGGUGUUGGGAGGGUAAAACCUUUUAGUACCGUAGCUAACGCGAGAAGUUGACCGCCUGGGGAGUACGGCCGCAAGGUUAAAACUCAAAGGAAUUGACGGGGACCCGCACAAGCGGUGGAUGAUGUGGAUUAAUUCGAUGCAACGCGAAAACCUUACCUACCCUUGACAUGUCAGGAACUUGCCAGAGAUGGCUUGGUGCCCCGAAAGGGAACCUGAACACAGGUGCUGCAUGGCUGUCGU
rnacentral:rRNA from 1 species